GAAGAUCAAGGACACUUUUUAUCUGACGACAAGUAAUCAAGGCGUGGUCGGUCAGGUCCGUAUAUAAGCCGGGACGGAUCGGCAAACAGUAUCACUUGUGACAACAAUCCCAAGUAACUCUACAACCAUGUUCUUCAGACUGUUCGCCCUCUUCGCCGUGUUGGCCGUGGCUUUCGCCAACCCCAAGCCUGAGCCCCAGGUGGUGACCUACGCCGCCGGAGCUGCUGCGUAUCCCUACGCCUACUCUGCUUACGCCCCCGUCGCCUACUCUGCUCCCUACGCCGCCGCUGCCUACCCCUACGGAGCAGCAUACUACGUCCGCUAAACCAGAUUCACCAGAUACACUUCUACCUGCUCAAUGACACCGACCAAAUGUUUGAUCAUGUUUUAAUAUAAGUUUUUAUGGCAAA